rnacentral:rRNA from 1 species
UGCGUAGGCGGCUACGUGUGUCAGAGGUGAAAGCUCACGGCUCAACCGUGGAAUUGCCUUUGAAACUGCGUAGCUUGAAUCCGAGAGAGGAUGAUGGAAUUCCUGGUGUAACGGUGAAAUAUGCAGAUAUCAGGAAGAACACCGGUGGCGAAGGCGGUCAUCUGGCUCGGUACUGACGCUGAGGCACGAAAGCUAGGGUAUCGAACG